AGCCCUGGGAGAGAGGACCAAAGAGAAGACAGGAAAGGCUUCUGUUUGAUUGAUACUGCUGUGGGCUGGAUGUUGGUGCCUUUUGGACCACAGAAAUCAGUGAAGGAGAGGAAUUGAAUGCCUAGAAAUUCUAAGGAUUUGAAGUGACCACUCAGAUUCUGAUCCUCAAGGAUAGUUCUUCUAUCAAGCUGUGACCUCUACCUUUGAGGAAGAAGACAUUGCAAGAGUAAGAAGCCAUGUAAAAUGGAGUCUUGUGCACCCCUAACAUUUGUUGUGCCCAAUGCAAGAGGACAAGUGGAG